UUGGAGGGCAAGUCUGGUGCCAGCAGCCGCGGUAAUUCCAGCUCCAAUAGCGUAUAUUAAAGUUGUUGCAGUUAAAAAGCUCGUAGUUGAAUUUCGGGGUCAGUAGGUUGGUCAUGCCACUGGUAUGUACUGGUCUCACUGAUUCCUCCUUCCUGAUGAGCCGUAAUGCCAUUAAUUUGGUGUUGCGAGGAAUCUGGACUGUUACUUUGAAAAAAUUAGAGUGUUUAAAGCAGGCUAACGCUUGAAUACAUUAGCAUGGAAUAAUGAAAUAGGACGUUCGAUCUUAUUUUGUUGGUUUCUAAGAUUGACGUAAUGAUUAAUAGGGAUAGUUGGGGGCAUUAGUAUUCAAUUGUCAGAGGUGAAAUUCUUGGAUUUAUUGAAGACUAACUACUGCGAAAGCAUUUGCCAAGGAUGUUUUCAUUAAUCAAGAACGAAAGUUAGGGGAUCGAAGACGAUCAGAUACCGUCGUAGUCUUAACCAUAAACUAUGCCGACUAGGGAUCGGAUGAUGUUAAUUUUUUAAUGACUCAUUCGGCACCUUACGGGAAAC
rnacentral:rRNA from 1 species